rnacentral:lncRNA from 1 species
GUGCCGAGGCCGCGCCGGCGCUGCCCAGGCGGCGCCGGGUGACGGCCGAGGCCGAGGGCAAGUACGUGAUCUCGCUGCCCAAGGGCACCACGGCCCGCAGCCGCCACAUCCUGCGCCUGCACGCCGCCCGAGGUCUGGGCCGUCCCUCGGUGUUCGAGCGCCUCGGGGCCGAGGCCAAAGCGGCCGCAGCCGCGGGAGCCAAGCCCUCGGGCGUGUUCAGCCGCCUGGGCGCCGCCCCGGAGGGCCCCGAUGCCGCGGCCGAUCCCGGCGCGGGGGAUCCGGCGGAUCCCGAGGCGCUGCCCUACGCCGGCGUGCUCAAGAAGCGCCGGGAAUGUUCCGGAACGGCCACAACGACGAUGGCGGCGCAGGACGGGGCCGUGUCCAGCUCGGGGGGCGGGGCCUGGGGGUGUGGCCAGGUCAGCAGCUCCUCCCGCAGCGUCUUCCGCAGGCUGGGC